GCCCGGUUAGCUCAGUUGAUUAGAGUGCUUCCUUGACGUGGAAGAGGUCAAAGGUUUAAAUCCUUUACCGGGCACCA
rnacentral:tRNA from 1 species